rnacentral:rRNA from 1 species
UUCCGUAAGGGGUACCUGCGGAGGGAUCAUUACACAAUACAAUAUGAAGGCUGUCCGCAGCUGGAGUAUUUUAUUACCCUUGUCUUUUGCGCACUUGUUGUUUCCUGGGCGGGUUCGCUCGCCACCAGGACCACCAAAUAAACCUUUUUUAUGCAGUUGCAAUCAGCGUCAGUACAAACAAUGUAAAUCAUUUACAACUUUCAACAACGGAUCUCUUGGUUCUGGCAUCGAUGAAGAACGCAGCGAAAUGCGAUACGUAGUGUGAAUUGCAGAAUUCAGUGAAUCAUCGAAUCUUUGAACGCACAUUGCGCCCUUUGGUAUUCCAAAGGGCAUGCCUGUUCGAGCGUCAUUUGUACCCUCAAGCUUUGCUUGGUGUUGGGCGUUUUUGUCUUUGGUCGCCCAAAGACUCGCCUUAAAGUGAUUGGCAGCCGGCCUUUCUGGUUUCGCAGCGCAGCACAUUUUUGCGCUUGCCAUCAGCAAGACGGCAAUCCAUCAAGCCUCCUUCUCACGUUUGACCUCGGAUCAGGUAGGGAUACCCGCUGAACUUAAGCAUAUCAUAGGCGGGAGGAAA